rnacentral:lncRNA from 1 species
GCCUGGAACAUACUAUCUAAAAAAGCUCGGAGGAGCAGACCUUCCGUGACCAUGGAAUUUGAAAAAUCUACGAAUGUAUUACCGAUAACUUUAUCUUAAAUAAAAAUUUUAUAUUCGCAUAUCCUUUCUUUUGGCAUGAGCUUAUAACGACAGGGAGUAGCUCCUUUAGAUAAUCGAAAUUGAGCGUGUUAGGGACAGGAGGAGAACCUCGCCCUAACAUGAGCAAAGUCGAAAGCCCGAUUAUUU